AGAAAACAAAGUUACUAAAAAAAAAAAACUGUCCACACAGUAGCGUGUGUUCAAAGAUGAAUAACAGACCAUUCAAAGAAUAUGGCUCUCAAUAGCAUUUUCAAUACUAGACACGGCCAUCACUUCAUUAGGGAGCUCAUUCUAAUCGUUAAUCGUGUUAGGAAAAAAUGAAUAUUUAAACACAUUGGUACGGCACUGAUAAGCUC
rnacentral:lncRNA from 1 species